rnacentral:lncRNA from 1 species
GUUUGUAUAAUUAACACUGCACAAAUAUACACUUUUGAACAUAUUUUUUUAUGCAUGAACUUUAUAUGGCUAUCUGCUUUUAAUAUGCACUGCUUUCAUCUGUAGUAUAUGCACCUUCUGGUCCUUAGACACUCUCUGUAGUAUGCUAGCUAGCUUCUUGUAACAUAACUGCAUGGUGUGUGUUUUGUGUUUAUGCAUAUGGAUCACUAACCAGUCAAUCCAAGCACAGUGGAAACUUUACUUUUUGCUUUCUUUAAAAAAAACAUAUUUAUUCAAAGCAAAUAUAUAGAAUGUCCAGUGAGCUGAGCUGAAGGGAAUUAGAAAAAGACAAGAAGUAUAAAAAGUAUGAGAUUUGGAAUGAUUGCCAAUGAGACAGCCAUCCACCAAAUGCCAAGCAACAAACAAUUAAAUUUCUACAUGUCACCUUUUUAAUCAGAAUAAAUGGAACUUUUUGUAUGGUUUUAAUAUUAAUAAUCUCACUUUGUGCAUCGCUACAUCGUUCAAUGGCUUCUUGAUAUAGUUCCCUGAAUGUCCGACAUUUUGUUUGUGUUGCCGUAUUUUUUAAUAUGUAUGCCUUGUUGUUAUUUUUGUCUGAAUGUUUCACCACAGAAACAAUCAGCACGUUUUCCAUCUUUGCAACUUUUUUGAUCAGAAUCAAAAAUAUGCUUGACAAAUGACAAACACUGCAUAUUUUCAAACGCUUAAUUGAUAAAGAUUUUUUUUUAAUACCGGAAUCGAGUUCGUCGAAAAUGCGGAUUUAUUUUCGACGUGCGGGAAUUUUAUUUUUAUUUUUAUUUUUUUGUUUUGGCAGGUGAGGUGCGGGAAAUUUAUUUUUAUUUUUUUAUUUUAAUUUCGGCAAUUUAGGUGCGGGUUUUCCAAAGAACUACUAAUUAAUUUGGUGUGGCCUUAAAUAAAAAAUCAU